rnacentral:tRNA from 1 species
CUUACAUAUUUUAAAAGUAAUAGUGUGUUGAAGUUGCAAAGGUGGCAAGAGCCUGUAAGUAU